AUAAAAAGAAAUGUUGACAGGUUGAAAAUCUUCCUCAAGAUCCGCUUGAAGUUUUUCUCGUUCCUUUUCUUCUUUUUCUCUCUCUUUUGCUUCCUUCUCUCUCUCCCUUUUUUGGGCUUGGAAAAAAGCGAGUUUUCCCGAAAGUGGACGGUUUGAAAAAGAAGGAGAGAGGAGAAAGAGAAGAAAGAGGAGGUGAAG
rnacentral:ribozyme from 13 species